UGUGUCGCGACACGUGGGCAAGUAUGGGUGAUACCAUUAUCAACAGGGAGAAAGGGGGAACCCUGCCUGUGAAUCUGAUCUAGGCUCUACGUGGGUGAAUCCCCUGUAUUGCGGGAGAAUCGGGCUCCUGUCAGACUUUGCUCUGUCCCUGCAGAGAGGCUCACAGAGCCGCUAGGGCGCGAUCGUCUGUACGCGGAACUUAGAUGGGUGGUUCCGUCCCCCUUUCUGGGCUGAGUUGGGCUCUCCCGGCUUUACCUACCAAUAGUCGCCCAGGAGAGCCCGCCCACGUGACCCGUUUGGCGCGGAAUUUUCUCGGGGUUCAGGGGCUGGCGGAAGGUGCUUCCGGAAGAAAAGUGGGGGAGCAGCAGCAGCCGGUGAAGCAGCGUCAUGUCCUCGCCGGCCUCCACACCGAGCCGCCGCGGCAGCAAGCGCGGGCGGAGCAGCAACCCCCCGACUCCACACACUGAAGAUGCUCAGUCUCCUCUUUCACAAAAAGGUCAAACAGAUGACUCCACAUCUACAGGAGAUCUACAGCCAAUGCCAACUUCUCCAGCAGUUGGCAUGCAAAGCCCAAAUGCUCAAGAUGUUCUGUUUUCCAGCCCACUACAAUUUUGGUUAUGGUUGUCAGUAGUAGGAGCAAAAUGCUGAUAUCUGUAUAUUAUUGGCUAUUAAAUGGCGUAGACGGAAAGAUUUAUUUUAGGCUUUUACAUAGCUGUCAAUUUAAAAACAAAAAGGGCCUUUUGAAUGAACAGGAUUGUUUUCAAUUACAGUUCACCUCUGACCUAUGGCACUCCCAGCUCUAGAGUGGAGGGUACUCCAAGGAGUGGUGUGCGAGGAACUCCAGUUAGGCAGAGGCCAGAUCUUGGAUCUGCCCGCAAAGCCAGACAGGUGGACUUGCAUUCUGAUGAGCCAGCAAAGGAUGCAUUGGCAAGUGAACAAUCUCUUGGACAAAAGCUUGUCAUCUGGGGAACAGAUACUAUUGUAGCUUCAUGCAAAGUUAAGUUGCAGCCAGCCUGCUUGAUGGCCCAUUAAGGACAAUCAGCUCUUCUAGAGACCCCCUCCUGAGAUCCCUUCAGGCAGCAUCUAGGCACUGAAUGCCUCAUGACUGAGCACGUGACCCAGGACACCAUGUUUGCACCAGGCAUUCUGCUUCAACUGUUUGGGGGAUCAAGAAAAUAUUUGAGUCAUACCAGAAGAGGAAGUUUUCGUGCUGAGAUCAACAUUCUUCUGUGUGGUGAUCCUGGCACUAGUAAAUCACAGCUGCUUCAAUAUGUCUAUAACCUGGUUCCUAGAGGCCAGUACACAUCAGGGAAGGGCUCUAGUGCAGUUGGUCUUCAUUGGUGUAAUGAAGGACCCGGAGACAAGGCAGCUGGUUCUGCAGACAGGUGCUCUGGUUCUCAGUGACAAUGGCAUUUGCUGCAUCGAUGAAUUUGAUAAAAUGAAUGAAAGUACAAGAUCAGUACUGCAUGAGGUAAUGGAACAACAGACUCUAUUGCCAAGGCUGUCACUAAAGGAAUGUUCGAAGAAGCACUUCGUGCCUUGGCUGACGAUGACUUCUUGACUGUGACUGGAAAGACUGUUAGAUUGCUGUAAUGAAAUGCUAGCUUAACAGCAGAGUUUUACUGUUUUUUCCAAGUACUUCUUUUGAGACCUUUCACAUUUAAGAAUAUUAUUCACUGUGGUCAAAUUCAUGUUGGUGAUCUGUUGGUGAACACCAUUGCCAGCACUGUAAAUAACUAGAUACUGAAGGACUGCAAAAAGCUGAAAUUAAACGCAGUGAUAUUUGUUUGAACAAAAUGGGUUACUAACAUUUCAUUGCAAUGUGUAUUUUCAAUAAAGUGCUUUGUAGAACAA